UUAAAAAGUAAACCAAAAAAAAUUAUGUUGGCGGAGAAAGCAAACUGAAAAUUUAUCUGAAAAAAUGAGCUCAAACGGAAAAGAUUACAAAAGAAUCUCGGGCUUGGUGAAGCCUCCUGUGGAAUGAAAAACAGAGGCCCUUCUUUAUUGGAGCUGUGUGUCCUAGAAAGAUAACAUUAUUAAGCAUGCCUGUGAUAAGGAGUUUCAAGCACUUAUUAACAAGCCUGUAUAGGACAAGUAGCAAAGAAAAUUAAAGAGCAGAGACUUGAAAAGAGAGAACAACUGCACCUAUUGUAGCAAAGUUCAGAAACAGAAGAUGCAACAAGGAAAGAAAUGAUAAGAAACGUUGACAUGAGACAUUUAGGCUUGUGGAAACUUAAAAAGGAAGUGUUGGAAGUCCCUGUGCUCAUUUUGAAUGCUAUGAUUUUCACAUUUGUUUUGUACCUUCAGGUACUAAUGGAAAAGCUAACAUCAUUGUAGAAUUCGUGAAUUAAAAGCAAAUUAUGGCUAAAUAUGUGAAAUAUGUGAGAAUUACUCAUACUGGGUAUAAAGCUUAUUCUAAAAUGCCAGUUUUAGUUGCCCCAGAUAUGGUAAUGUCAUUUCCUGUGUACAUUUCCAGCUUUUCAAAAAGUGAGAUUUUAUUUUAAAACUGAAAUAGAAGCCAAUGUGUUGGGAAGGUGAACCCAUGAACACGUUUUAGUAUUUCUGUGUCAGUGUCUCAAUCUGCUGUUGCUGAGAUGUCAAAGAGGAAGUUCCAUUGUGCGACGGUGAUAAUGAUUUGUUUCUUAUUAUGUGCUGAGCUU